UGGCGGCAGGCCUAACACAUGCAAGUCGAACGGUAACAGGAAGCAGCUUGCUGCUUUGCUGACGAGUGGCGGACGGGUGAGUAAUGUCUGGGAAACUGCCUGAUGGAGGGGGAUAACUACUGGAAACGGUGGCUAAUACCGCAUAACGUCGCAAGACCAAAGAGGGGGACCUUCGGGCCUCUUGCCAUCAGAUGUGCCCAGAUGGGAUUAGCUUGUUGGUGAGGUAACGGCUCACCAAGGCGACGAUCCCUAGCUGGUCUGAGAGGAUGACCAGCCACACUGGAACUGAGACACGGUCCAGACUCCUACGGGAGGCAGCAGUGGGGAAUAUUGCACAAUGGGCGCAAGCCUGAUGCAGCCAUGCCGCGUGUAUGAAGAAGGCCUUCGGGUUGUAAAGUACUUUCAGCGGGGAGGAAGGUGUUGUGGUUAAUAACCGCAGCAAUUGACGUUACCCGCAGAAGAAGCACCGGCUAACUCCGUGCCAGCAGCCGCGGUAAUACGGAGGGUGCAAGCGUUAAUCGGAAUUACUGGGCGUAAAGCGCACGCAGGCGGUCUGUCAAGUCGGAUGUGAAAUCCCCGGGCUCAACCUGGGAACUGCAUUCGAAACUGGCAGGCUUGAGUCUUGUAGAGGGGGGUAGAAUUCCAGGUGUAGCGGUGAAAUGCGUAGAGAUCUGGAGGAAUACCGGUGGCGAAGGCGGCCCCCUGGACAAAGACUGACGCUCAGGUGCGAAAGCGUGGGGAGCAAACAGGAUUAGAUACCCUGGUAGUCCACGCCGUAAACGAUGUCUACUUGGAGGUUGUGCCCUUGAGGCGUGGCUUCCGGAGCUAACGCGUUAAGUAGACCGCCUGGGGAGUACGGCCGCAAGGUUAAAACUCAAAUGAAUUGACGGGGGCCCGCACAAGCGGUGGAGCAUGUGGUUUAAUUCGAUGCAACGCGAAGAACCUUACCUGGUCUUGACAUCCACAGAAGAAUCCAGAGAUGGAUUUGUGCCUUCGGGAACUGUGAGACAGGUGCUGCAUGGCUGUCGUCAGCUCGUGUUGUGAAAUGUUGGGUUAAGUCCCGCAACGAGCGCAACCCUUAUCCUUUGUUGCCAGCGGUUAGGCCGGGAACUCAAAGGAGACUGCCAGUGAUAAACUGGAGGAAGGUGGGGAUGACGUCAAGUCAUCAUGGCCCUUACGACCAGGGCUACACACGUGCUACAAUGGCGCAUACAAAGAGAAGCGACCUCGCGAGAGCAAGCGGACCUCAUAAAGUGCGUCGUAGUCCGGAUUGGAGUCUGCAACUCGACUCCAUGAAGUCGGAAUCGCUAGUAAUCGUGGAUCAGAAUGCCACGGUGAAUACGUUCCCGGGCCUUGUACACACCGCCCGUCACACCAUGGGAGUGGGUUGCAAAAGAAGUAGGUAGCUUAACCUUCGGGAGGGCGCUUACCACUUUGUGAUUCAUGACUGGGGUGAAGUCGUAACAAGGUAACCGUAGGGGAACCUGCGGUUGGAUCACCUCCUUACCUUAAAGAA
rnacentral:rRNA from 1 species